ACUAGAAUGCACUAGAAAGUAUUGUCUGACCAAGGAAAGUGCAAAUUACAAAGAGCACCUGAAGGCAGCCUGGCCACAGCCUACACAGCUACAGCCUGGCCAUGGACAUGAAUGACUGCUGUAAUACUUGGUGACAGCGCCACCAUCCGGUUGAAGGCCAUGUGGCAUUGUAACAUACAAAGGGUACAAAUGGUAACAGCACCCUGCCUCUCAGUCCGCUCAGCUCCCAUCAGUAUUGUCCUGUCAUUUGUAUUGUCAGCAGGUAAAAGUGAAUGGGUGUUUUGGCCUCAUGAAUGUCACAGUGAGAUAUAUACAUGCAGAAUACACGGUGGAAACGUUUUGGGGCCAUUAUUAUUGGGUGGGUGACUGAGCAAACAAAUAAAUGGACAACCACAACAAAAACACUGAGACAAAGUUUCACAGUGUUAAAGUCUACAGUAAAAAAAGGCCAGAAGCACCUUGCUUGCAGCUCUUUCCAAGCAAUAUCUGACUUUUUUUUUUUUUUUUUUUAAGUUUUUUAAACAUUUCAUUCAUGUUAAGGUAAAAGCGUUGACAUGACGAAAUGUGCAUGCUCUUGCUCAAACAUUUAUUUUUUGUUUUGUUGUCGAGACAUAUCAUUUUUAGACAAUUCAAAACCAACAUGUUUGCCUGGUUGUUAAAUAGCCUUGCCUAAACCAAGCAAACAAAUGCUGUCAUAUAAACGUUACGUUUACGCCACAUCUAUACGUUAAAUCUAAAUAUUUAAUCUGAAUCUUGACGUGAUAACGAUGACAAUUCGUAUAGUGAAAGUGUUUACUCGUUAAAAUGUAGUUUUCACGUUAUAAAAAUAUGUUUUUGAUGAUGUGUAACGACAUAGUUACAGUUUUCUCCUCGUAACGAUAAACGUUAUAACGAUAACCAUUCUGUGCUGCCAUAUAGUUAGCGUUAGCUAGUUACGAGCAAUAACAAAAAACACAAAGUUUUUUGACAGUAUGCUCAACAUUAAUUGAAGAGUUUACAUGUGGCAGCCAAGUUAAACUGCCAAAAGAGUUAGUUGAACGCCAGUGAAACAACGGCUGGCCGUUACCUAACGUUAGCGAACUUAACGUUACAUCCGUUAGACACCAAGUGGCUAAGUAUCAGUGGUUUAUGUCAAACUGCUGUUACUUAUCCUCAAGUGUCCAUAGCUGAUCUCCAUCCUGAACCACCAGAGGAUGUGUGAACGGCGGCCGCCUGUAGUCUCUUCCGUCCCUCCUCGGCUACUGUCGCUCGUGGGAGGAGCUCGCGGGGAGCACGGGGAUCCCACUGACUGUCACGCGGGCAGGUCUCCUACGCUCCUUCGCGGAAACACUGGCGAGGACCAGUCCGUAACCAGAGAUGCAUCAUUUCUGAGUGUUGUUAGGUGGAAGAAAACAGGAAUGCAUCAAUGCCAAGCACCAGGUGAGGAGCAGGAGGAGGUGACUGGGAUGGUAUGUCAGGAGGCUGACCUGAAAGAUGGACAGAUGAAGGAAGUAACUGUCGGGGAUCAGAAGGUGUUGCUUGUCUGCACCCAGGGUCAGUACAGUGCUAUUGGAAGCCUGUGCUCCCAUUACAAUGCUCCUCUUAUCAAAGGAGCACUGGUUGGUGACAGAGUGAGGUGUCCCUUUCACGGUGCUUGCUUUAAUGUCAGAACUGGAGAUAUUGAAGAGUAUCCAGGUCUGGACUGUCUGCCUAGUUAUAAGGUAAAAGUUGAGGAGGGCAAUGUGUAUGUUACCAUCAGCAAAAAUUCUCUGAAGUUGACGAAGCGGGUGAAGGAGAUGUGCAGCAUGAUACCGGACAUCAAACACACUAUUCUGCUGAUAGGAGGAGGCCCUGCCUCCCUGGUUUGUGCUGAAACGCUGCGGCAGAACUGCUACCAAGGUCGAAUCAUCAUUGUCACCAAAGACAAUCUGCCUCCAUUUGACAAGCCCAAACUGAGCAAGGCUAUGAAUCUGGACAGCAGCAGCCUCCUCCUCCGACAAAGUGACUUUUAUCAACAGUAUGGGAUUGAGGUGUGGACACAGAAGGAGGUGUUAUCGGUAAACCCAGCUGAUAAGGCAGUGAAGUUGAGCGAUGGCUCUUUGCAGCAUUACGACCAGCUUCUCAUCUCAACUGGCUGUAGAGCACGGACACUCAACUGUCCUGGUUGGGAGCUGAAGGGAGUAAAGUUGCUGCAGAGUUAUGAAGAUGCCAAAGAGAUUCACGACUCCUGUCUGGGCCAGAAAGCUGUUGUAAUCGGAGCCUCCUUCAUAGGUAUGGAGGUGGCAUCCUACUUAUCAGACAAAGCUGCCAGAGUGGCCAUGGUUGGCACUACCAGAUACCCGUAUGAGCGAUCUCUGGGGCCAGAGAUCGGAAAAAUGAGUAUGCAAAUGUUGGAGGAACAAAAUGUAAAGUUCUACAUGAAUGAUGGAGUCACUGAGAUAAAAGGGGAGAACGGCAAGGUGAAGUGGGUGGUGCUGAAGAGUGGCACCGUCCUGGAAGCUGAUGUGGUGAUUGCCGGAAUUGGUGUAAUCCCCAAUUCAGACUUCUUAGCAGGAAGCCAGUUGGAAGUGGAUUCAAGGAAAGCUGUGAUUGUUGACAAGUUCAUGAGGACCAAUAUACCAGAUAUUUUUAGUGCUGGAGAUGUUACCUCUUUCCCUCUGACCAUUCGUGGAGACCAAAGGGUCAACAUUGGUCACUGGCAAAUGUCACAAGCUCAAGGAAGAGUAGCUGCCCUAAACAUGCUGAAGAAACCAACCAAAAUUGAGUCUGUCCCUUUUUUCUGGACCGUGUUGCUUGGGAAGAGUAUCAGAUACACAGAGAUGAGGUGGUGGUAGCUGCGGCCAGCCUGAUGUUCGACCCAGCUGUGGCUCGUCUUGCAGAGCUGAUGGCUACUGGCCAGAUCUUAACAAAGGCACAGGCUCAAGCUGAUGACCCGAGCUGGCUGCAGAUGUAACCAGAGGCCUGCUGUAUCCCGGAGUAACACUGCUCAGUGACGAAGGAUGUCGCCCUUUCCCUUUCUUGUUCCUCUUUCCAUCAAAUAGUGCCAAAUUGGAUUGCUCCAUUUACUGCCUCUGGGCUUCUGUAAGCCAAUCAGACCCCUGCUCUUACUCAGAGCACUGUUACCAUAGCAGCAAGGAAAGCUUUAUUGAAUUUGUACUUUGUACACUCAAUGAAUGAUCUGAUGUCUGUGUAACGAGCGGAGCCUGGAUAAGUUGACUUUUAUUUAUUCCAAGUUUUGACUACAGCUGUACUAAAAGUGGGUUGUCUGUGGUUAAUAUUAGCAUAGUACAAUAAUAAUUAAGUAUUAGUAUUUUUCAUACUAUUGUAUCCACUUGAAACAUUCUGAAAACAAACUCCACUCCACGCUUACAAUACAUUUAUGAGUAACUUAUUUAAAAUCUAAAAUACAAAGGUCAGUUAACAUACUGCACUCAACAAAUACUGUGAUGGACGUGUUGUUAAUUAACAGGUUUGUUGUUUUUUUUCUUUUAUUGUCUUAACCUCUGUUCCAUGUUCACUGCAAUGCUUGUUGAAUCAGUCAUAUGUUUACAGCAGAGAUGUAGCUUAUUGUUCAGUCUUUAUCAUAUAACUGAUGUAAAACUCACAUUCAUGUUUUUAGUGUCUGAUUUUUAAAUUCAAAUCCAGAUGAAGAGAAAACAGGUACGAAAGCACUUUGUGGAAUCUUAUCUUUCACUUACUUGAAAAUGAAGUCUGGUGCUUUGUGGUAUAUAACUAAUGCUCAGGUAUUAAACAAAUCUGUUAAGCAGUUUCAACACAUUGAUCAUCCAUAAUAUAUCAUAUUUACUGUUGUCAGCAUAUGGAUGCAGUAUGGUGAUGUGUUUUCUGUCAGUUGACUACAAUAAAUCAUUGCUCAUCUUAAGAUCAUCUUUGCUGCUUUAUGUCUUUUAGGUUUUGACAGUUGCUUUUAAAAUCGUAAGAUAACAAAACUACAUAGUCUUUAUCAUUUUUUAUUAAAGUCAUUAUUUCUUUGGAUUUUUACUUCCACUUUUAUUGUUCGUUGCUGUUUUGAAUUUGGUCUAUUUGUCCCCUUUUCUGUCAAACUGGACUUUUUGUGCUGUUGUAAGAGUUUAAUACUUUAAAAACCACCCACUGCUGGCAGGCAGGGGAGUCCACUCUCAGUAGUCUUUACUUAUGUUACUGGCUGCAAAUACUUAAUAAAUUACAUGCACAUA